UCCACGCCGUAAACAAUGUGUGCUAGUUGUUGGGACCUAGAGUUUCAGUGACACAGCUAACGCGUUAAGCACACCGCCUGGGGAGUACGGUCGCAAGACUAAAACUCAAAGGAAUUGACGGGGACCCGCACAAGCGGUGGAGCAUGUGGUUUAAUUCGAUGCUACGCGAAGAACCUUACCACCCUUUGACAUCUAGAUCGCGAGGACCAGAGAUGGACCUUUUCAGUUAGGCU
rnacentral:rRNA from 1 species